rnacentral:rRNA from 1 species
CCUACGGGUGGCAGCAGUGAGGAAUAUUGGUCAAUGGCCGGAAGGCUGAACCAGCCAAGCCGCGUGAAGGACGAAGGUGCCAAGCAUUGUAAACUUCUUUUGUCAAGGGACAAAAUCAGGCUCGAGAGCCUGACCGAGGGUACUUGAAGAAAAAGCAUCGGCUAACUCCGUGCCAGCAGCCGCGGUAAUACGGAGGAUGCGAGCGUUAUCCGGAUUUACUGGGUGUAAAGGGAGCGUAGACGGCAAUGCAAGUCCGGAGUGGAAUGCGGCAGCUCAACUGCCGAACUGCUCUGGAAACUGUAUGGCUGGAGUGCAGGAGGGGUAAGCGGAAUUCCUGGUGUAGCGGUGAAAUGCGUAGAUAUCAGGAGGAACACCGGUGGCGAAGGCGGCUUACUGGACUGUAACUGACGUUGAGGCUCGAAAGCGUGGGGAGCAAACAGGAUUAGAUACCCGUGUAGUC